GUUUAGUCAAGGUUGAGAGCUCUCUGUUCCCAUUUGUUCAAGCAACAUGAUCGGAUUAAAGAAAAAGAAGCUUCUAAUAUUUGGGGUGAGCAUCGCUACAAUUCUAUUUAUCGUCCUAACGAUAAUAAUCGUAUUAUUCGUUAAUAAUUCAGAAACGAUAUCUAAUGGAAGCUCGUACUUUGGAAAAUACAAAAAGGCUGCAGUGUCCACACAUGGUCAAGAAUGCGCUGAGAUAGGUGUCGGCAUGUUAAAUAAAGGUGGAUCGGCAGUCGAUGCGGCUAUUGCUGCCCUCUUAUGCGAGGGAGUUGCAUCUUUACAUAGUAUGGGAUUGGGCGGUGGAUUUUUAAUGACCAUUUGGGAUGCAUCUAACAAAACUGCCGAUUAUUUGGAUGCAAGGGAGAUCGCUCCACUUGAUGCAAAUGAGAACAUGUUUCACGGAGAUCCUCAAUUAGCGAUGUUUGGUGGUUUAGCCGUUGCAGUACCAGGCGAACUUCUUGGGUAUUGGGAAGCCCAUAAAAAAUAUGGAAAAUUGAAAUGGUUCGAUCUAUUCGAGCCGAUUAUUUCUCUGUGCGCCACUGGAUCUAUCGUGACUAAAUAUUUGGAAUCAUAUUUAACCAGUAAAGAAUCUUCGAUAAGAGCGGAAAAAUCGUUGGCCGAAAUCCUUAUAAAUCCUACUACCAAUUCGUUAUGGAAGGUAGGCGAUAGAAUAAAAAGACCACGUUUGGCAGAAACAUUAAAAUUGAUCGCGAUUAAUGGACCCGAUAUAUUUUACAAUGGCAAUAUGACUGAUAAUUUAGUCAAAGAGAUCAGUGCUUUCAAAGGUAUCAUAAAGAGGGAGGAUUUCGUAAAUUAUAAAGUAAAAUGGAGGAAACCGAUUAAAUCAACAAUCGGGAAUUUAACCAUCUAUACCGCACCGCCACCUAGUUCAGGAGCGCUGCUAACUUUUAUUAUGAAUGUUCUCUACGGUAUAAUUCCAAAUCAGGACAAUCGAAUUACAUGGCAAAAUAUAAUCGAGACGUUUAAAUGGGCUUAUGCUAAAAGAACGAAAUUAGCUGAUCCUGAUUUCAUUGAUAUCACCCAAGUACUUAAUAAUUUGACAUCUGUUGAUUAUGCAAAUAUGAUUCGAAAGAAAAUUAAAAUAAACGAAACAAGUAACGAUCCGACUUAUUAUGGUGCUAUUACUGUUCCACCAGACGAUUCAGGAACGUCUCACAUCUCCGUUUUGGCUCCCGAUGGAUCUGCUGUAUCUGUUACAUCAACGAUAAAUCAAGUUUUUGGAGCAAUGAUACGUUCAGAAUCGACUGGCAUAAUAUUUAAUGAUGAAAUGGAUGAUUUUAGCUCCCCAAAUAUAACUAAUGCAUUCGGUGUACCACCUUCGCCAGCAAAUUUUAUUAAGCCUGGAAAAAGACCUUUGAGUUCUAUGAGCCCGACAAUUGUUGUAGAUAAAGAUGAACAUGUCCGCUUAGUAAUUGGUGCUGCAGGUGGAACUAAAAUCAUCACCUCAAUUGCAACAGCAAUGGUAUUAAAUCUUUGGUCAGGAUAUGAUAUAAGACAAGCUAUUGAUGUACCUAGAAUUCAUCAUCAACUAUUACCAAUGAUUGUUCAACAUGAACAAGGAUUUUCUACAGAUAUAUUAAAUUAUUUAUCGAAUAUUGGACAUAAUAUUACAACUUAUACGGGAAUUGGUAGUGCAAUUACGGCUAUAUCUAAACAAAAUGGACAAAUAUUUGCUACUUCGGAUUUUCGAAGAGAAGGAAAAACUGCUGGUUUUUAAAUUUCUGUUUCCUGCGUAAAGCCUGUGAACACAAAGGAAUAAGAACCUCUUUUCUCACUACCUGGUUCCCACAGUAAACUAAUUAUAUACAGACAAUAUUAUAAUCAAGAUAAAAGUACAGUUUCAUUAAUGCAUGCAUAUACAAUCAUUGGCACACCUCCAUCAAAAACAAAAACUGGUUUAAUUUUAUAAUACAAAAGUUUGCAAAUUCUAUGAAAUAAACCAAUAAGAUGAGCAUUGGGUUUCGGGUUACCAAAACGGUCCUGAUAUCCUUGUAAUACUUGAUGUAUCCAAAUUGAUAUAUCUAUAUAAGAAUCACAAAAUAUUUAUUAUAUCUAAGAUUUUUCCUUCCAAUGUUUCUAAAGGCACUUGUUCUCCUGUUGCAUUAAGUAAACGCCAUAAACCAUAAACACCCAUUAUUUAAAACAACAAACCUAUAAUAAUAAAUUAUAUAAUAAAAUUAUAUUAAUU